CUACGUGCCAGCAGCCGCGGUAAUACGUAGGUGGCAAGCGUUGUCCGGAUUUAUUGGGCGUAAAGCGAGCGCAGGCGGUUUGAUAAGUCUGAAGUUAAAGGCUGUGGCUCAACCAUAGUUCGCUUUGGAAACUGUCAAACUUGAGUGCAGAAGGGGAGAGUGGAAUUCCAUGUGUAGCGGUGAAAUGCGUAGAUAUAUGGAGGAACACCGGUGGCGAAAGCGGCUCUCUGGUCUGUAACUGACGCUGAGGCUCGAAAGCGUGGGGAGCGAACAGGAUUAGAUACCCUGGUAGUCCACGCCGUAAACGAUGAGUGCUAGGUGUUAGACCCUUUCCGGGGUUCAGUGCCGCAGCUAACGCAUUAAGCACUCCGCCUGGGGAGUACGACCGCAAGGUUGAAACUCAAAGGAAUUGACGGGGGCCCGCACAAGCGGUGGAGCAUGUGGUUUAAUUCGAAGCAACGCGAAGAACCUUACCAGGUCUUGACAUCCCGAUGCUAUUUCUAGAGAUAGAAAGUUA
rnacentral:rRNA from 1 species